GUAAAGCACUUUCAGUAGGGAGGAAGGUAGUGUAGUUAACACCUGCAUUAUUUGACGUUACCUACAGAAGAAGCACCGGCUAACUCCGUGCCAGCAGCCGCGGUAAUACGGAGGGUGCGAGCGUUAAUCGGAAUUACUGGGCGUAAAGCGCAUGCAGGCGGCCUGUUAAGUCAGAUGUGAAAGCCCGGGGCGUUAACCUCGGAAUUGCAUUUGAAACUGGCAGGCUAGAGUCUUGUAGAGGGGGGUAGGAAUUUCAGGUGUAGCGGUGAAAUGCGUAGAGAUCUGAAGGAAUACCAGUGGCGAAGGCGGCCCCCCUCGGACAAAGACUGACGCUCAGAUGCGAAAAGCGUGGGGAGCAAACAGGAUUAGAUACCCCUGGUAG
rnacentral:rRNA from 1 species